GUGUCAGCCGCCGCGGUAAUACGUAGGGUGCAAGCGUUGUCCGGAAUUAUUGGGCGUAAAGAGCUCGUAGGCGGUCUGUCGCGUCUGGUGUGAAAACUCAGGGCUUAACCCUGGGCCUGCAUCGGGUACGGGCAGACUAGAGUGUGGUAGGGGAGACUGGAAUUCCUGGUGUAGCGGUGAAAUGCGCAGAUAUCAGGAGGAACACCGGUGGCGAAGGCGGGUCUCUGGGCCAUAACUGACGCUGAGGAGCGAAAGCAUGGGGAGCGAACAGGAUUAGAAACCCUCGUAGUCC
rnacentral:rRNA from 1 species